rnacentral:tRNA from 1 species
GAGGAUAUAGCUCAGUGGCAGAGCAUGUUCACAAGGUCCUGGGUUCAAUCCCCAGUAUCACCA